GACGAACGCUGGCGGCGUGCUUAACACAUGCAAGUCGAACGGAAAGGCCCUGCUUUUGUGGGGUGCUCGAGUGGCGAACGGGUGAGUAACACGUGAGUAACCUGCCCUUGACUUUGGGAUAACUUCAGGCAACUGGGGCUAAUACCGGAUAGGAGCUCCUGCUGCAUGGUGGGGGUUGGAAAGUUUCGGCGGUUGGGGAUGGACUCGCGGCUUAUCAGCUUGUUGGUGGGGUAGUGGCUUACCAAGGCUUUGACGGGUAGCCGGCCGGAGAGGGUGACCGGCCACAUUGGGACUGAGAUACGGCCCAGACUCCUACGGGAGGCAGCAGUGGGGAAUAGUGCACAAUGGGCGGAAGCCUGAUGCAGCAACGCCGCGUGCGGGAUGACGGCCUUCGGGUUGUAAACCGCUUUCGCCUGUGACGAAGCGUGAGUGACGGUAAUGGGUAAAGAAGCACCGGCUAACUACGUGA
rnacentral:rRNA from 1 species